rnacentral:rRNA from 1 species
CACCACCUCUCAGCGUGUCUGGUAAGACCUUCANCCUGACCUUCAUACUGCUGUCGCCACUGGUAAGGGUUCCUCGCGUUGAAUCGAAUUAAACCGCAGCCUCCACCCCUUGUGUGCUCCCCCGCCAAUUCCCUUAAGUUUGCUGUAGAAGAAGCCGAUAAUUUAGCUUCUACAUUAUUGUUCUCAAAUCCAAAAUAAUCCAGUUGAUAUGCGCGCGGUCGCAAUGGAAUCAUUUUACAAGCGGCUUCUUCCAUUUCAGCCUUGCGACCGUACUUCCCAGGUGGCCCAUUUAACGGUUUCCCUACGACUCUGGCAUCCCCCUUGAGAAUGCCAAUGUCAAAUGGGCAUGGUUUACAGCCAGAACUACCGGGGUAUCUAAUCCCGUUUGCUCCUCUGGCUUUCGUCCCUCACCGUCAGAUCCGUUCUAGUCGAGCGCCUUCGCCAAUCACCUGAUUAAGCGACACGAGGUCGCUUAGUCAACAGGUGGUCCUCUUGGGAUUAUAAGAUUUUACCCUUACCCCAAGAAUACCCUCGACCUCUCCCGGUCUCAAGCCUGCCAGUAUCCCCAACAAUUUCGACAGUUAGCUGCCGAAUUCAUUAG